rnacentral:snoRNA from 2 species
AUGCAUGUUUCUAAGGUUUAUGACUGGUAUCAAUUAUGGGAUCUCCAACUGCAUGGGAAAAUAACCUGAAGAAACUUUGACAACACAGGUCGUCAUAGUAACUGUAGUUGUCAUUCAUUUUCCCUAUGUUU